rnacentral:rRNA from 1 species
GUGGGGAAUAUUGGACAAUGGGCGAAAGCCUGAUCCAGCCAUGCCGCGUGUGUGAAGAAGGUCUUCGGAUUGUAAAGCACUUUAAGUUGGGAGGAAGGGCAGUAAGUUAAUACCUUGCUGUUUUGACGUUACCGACAGAAUAAGCACCGGCUAACUUCGUGCCAGCAGCCGCGGUAAUACGAAGGGUGCAAGCGUUAAUCGGAAUUACUGGGCGUAAAGCGCGCGUAGGUGGUUUUGUAAGUUGGAGGUGAAAUCCCCGGGCUCAACCUUGGAACUGCCUCCAAAACUGCAUGACUAGAGUACGGUAGAGGGUAGUGGAAUGUCCUGUGUAGCGGUGAAAUGCGUAGAUAUAGGAAGGAACACCAGUGGCGAAGGCGACUACCUGGACUGAUACUGACACUGAGGUGCGAAAGCGUGGGGAGCAAACAGGAUUAGAAACCCGGGUAGUCC